AUUGAACGCUGGCGGCAUGCCUUACACAUGCAAGUCGAACGGCAGCGGGCCUUCGGGUGCCGGCGAGUGGCGAACGGGUGAGUAAUGCAUCGGAACGUGCCAUUGAGUGGGGGGAUAACGUAGCGAAAGUUACGCUAAUACCGCAUAUUCUGUGAGCAGGAAAGCAGGGGACCGCAAGGCCUUGCGCUCUUUGAGCGGCCGAUGUCAGAUUAGCUAGUUGGUGAGGUAAAGGCUUACCAAGGCGACGAUCUGUAGCGGGUCUGAGAGGAUGAUCCGCCACACUGGAACUGAGACACGGUCCAGACUCCUACGGGAGGCAGCAGUGGGGAAUUUUGGACAAUGGGCGCAAGGCCUGAUCCAGCCAUGCCGCG
rnacentral:rRNA from 1 species